rnacentral:tRNA from 1 species
UGCAUCGGCCGGGAAUCGAACCCGGGGAGCCCGCAUGGUAGGCGAGCAUUCUACCACUGAACCACCGAUGC